rnacentral:rRNA from 1 species
AUUGAACGCUGGCGGCAUGCUUUACACAUGCAAGUCGAACGGUAGCAGGCCUUCGGGUGCUGACGAGUGGCGAACGGGUGAGUAAUGCAUCGGAACGUACCCAGAGGUGGGGGAUAACGCAGCGAAAGCUGUGCUAAUACCGCAUGUGAUCUGAGGAUGAAAGCGGGGGACCGAGCAGCAAUGUUUGGCCUCGCGCCUUUGGAGCGGCCGAUGUCGGAUUAGCUAGUUGGUGGGGUAAAGGCCUACCAAGGCGACGAUCCGUAGCUGGUCUGAGAGGACGACCAGCCACACUGGGACUGAGACACGGCCCAGACUCCUACGGGAGGCAGCAGUGGGGAAUUUUGGACAAUGGGCGCAAGCCUGAUCCAGCAAUGCCGCGUGCGGGAAGAAGGCCUUCGGGUUGUAAACCGCUUUUGGCAGGAACGAAACGGUGUCCGCUAAUACCGGGUGCUAAUGACGGUACCUGCAGAAUAAGCACCGGCUAACUACGUG